rnacentral:misc_RNA from 1 species
AUGCCCAAUUACAACUAUUCUUCCUCUAUUUAUAAUAACCCCUACAAAAUACCAGAAUAUUGCUCUGUCUAUUACAUUCAGUCCACCAGCCCACUUGAGUCAACUUAACCAGCCCAGUCAACUCAUCUAGCUCUUCCCAUCCCUUUGUCAUAACAUGUUAACUUUAAGAUAUUAUUUAAAAUAAAAAUUAAUUAUGCAUUUUUUUGUAAUUGAUAAAUAAAAAUAUUAAUUAUUUUAGAACCGAAAAUGUUUAAGAAAAUAAUAUUUUGUAUCUUCAAACAUUGGAAAGAUAAAAAAUCAUUUUUUAAUCUAUUAAGGUCGUUGUAUACUUUAUAUUUAUAUUCUGGUUCUCACUAAAUUGGCCAAGAUUGUUAACAAUAUCAAAAGGCUAGGCUAAAUUUUGUAAAAUCAAAAUGAUUGAUUAAAAUUGAAAAAAUGUGUAAAGGUUUGGUUUUUUGGUUAUGAAGCCUAUCUCUAAUGACAAUAAAAAUUCCUAAAUAGGAUGAAACCCUAAAUUCCAUAAAUAGAAAAUCUACAACAACAAAAAAGGAAAAGUAUAUUUCAUACUUAAGAAUUAAAUUAAAAUAAUCCCAAGUCUAAUUUUCCUUGACUAGAUCAAGCUGGAGCAAGUGGGUAUGUCCUUUGGUGGUCCACUUGUAAGCUCUUUUCCCUUUAAAGAGAGUGUGGAAUUCUGGAAAAGACUUCCUGGUUGUGAACAGGAAUCAAUUUGAAGAAAAUGACUUCGUUUGUCUUUCAAUCUGGAACAUCAGUUUUCCUAUGUGUGGCAAAUACCAGAAAGUAGAGUGUUUUUCAAGAAAAUAUUUUCUGCAACCUAAGUGUGGUUUUUAGUUUUUGCAUCAAAUUUGUUAGCUAUUGAUAUUCAUUCAACAUGAGUUAUUCUAAACCGUUAUCUUUAUCGUUUUAUGUUACAGAACCAGUUUUUUACUUAAUGAGAUUCUUCUCAUUAACAUUUGGUUCUUGAAUAUUUGGAUGCUUAUGUUUUACUUCCCCAAAUUCUGUUGAAGGCUUGUUUUCAUUUGUUUGUUACUUGGUAGGGAUGUAGCUUUUAGUAAAAAAACCACCAUGAUACUCACGAGGUUUCUCUUGGCGUUGUGGUACUAAUGCAAACUAAAUUUCAUCAUUUUGCUUUGGCAUUCAUGCAUUUUUUUGUUUGCUUAUUGCAGCUGGGAGUGGGACCCAUUGUCUACCCUCAACGACCUGGACAAACAGAAUGUGAUGUGUGCUUCUAUCCUUGUUCACGUUUUACAUUUAACACAUUUUGUUAUUGGAACUUGGGAAUUUUGUUGAUGACUCUUUUGCAAAAUAUUGUGUAAAACUUUAUUUAGAUUUACAUUGGAGGCAGUUUUUCUUGUCUCUGUUGUAGAAAGUUCAGGAAUUUUGUUUUCCUUUUUUAAUACUGAUUUAUUUCAUUAUUUUGUUGGUAUAACUUGUUUCAUUGAUUCGGGAGAUCCUCAAAUGAUACGUAUUUUAUUUCUACUGUUUUCCCAUUUUUAGUACUAC